CAGUAGCCGCGGUAAUACGUAGGGUGCGAGCGUUAAUCGGAAUUACUGGGCGUAAAGCGUGCGCGGGCGGUUGUGUAAGACAGGUGUGAAAUCCCCGGGCUUAACCUGGGAACUGCGCUUGUGACUGCACAGCUAGAGUAUGGCAGAGGGGGGUGGAAUUCCACGUGUAGCAGUGAAAUGCGUAGAGAUGUGGAGGAACACCGAUGGCGAAGGCAGCCCCCUGGGCCAAUACUGACGCUCAUGCACGAAAGCGUGGGGAGCAAACAGGAUUAGAUACCCCCGUAGUCCCUGUCUCUUAUAC
rnacentral:rRNA from 1 species